rnacentral:tRNA from 1 species
AUUCAUAUAGCUUAUAAAUUAGAGCAUAGUAUUGAAGAUACUAAGGAGAUUAUAAAAUCUUUGAAUA